GAGGAAUAUUGGUCAAUGGGCGAGAGCCUGAACCAGCCAAGUCGCGUGAAGGAAGACUGCCUUAUGGGUUGUAAACUUCUUUUAUACAGGAAUAAAAAGGCUACCGUGAAGGCCAUUACAAGUAUGUUAUGAUAAAGAAUGGGGUACCCCGUUCCAGCAGCCGCGGUAAUACGGAGGAUGCGAGCGUUAUCCGGAUUUAUUGGGUUUAAAGGGUGCGCAGGCGGGCUUUUAAGUCAGCGGUGAAAUCUGGACGCUUAACGUCCAAACUGCCGUUGAAACUGGGAGUCUUGAGUAUGGAUGAAGUAGGCGGAAUUCGUUGUGUAGCGGUGACAUGCAUAGAUAUAACGAGGAACUCCGAUUGCGUAGGCAGCUUACUAAGCCAUAACUGACGCUCAUGCACGAAAGCGUGGGGAUCAAACA
rnacentral:rRNA from 1 species